rnacentral:rRNA from 1 species
GACGAACGCUGGCGGCGUGCCUAACACAUGCAAGUCGAACGGAGUUAAGUGCUUCGGUAUUUAACUUAGUGGCGAACGGGUGAGUAACGCGUGAGAAACCUGCCUUUCAGUGGGGGACAACAGUUGGAAACGACUGCUAAUACCGCAUGAUACUUUUUGGGGGUCGAUCCCUAAAACGUACAAAGACUUUAUGUGCUGAAAGAUGGUCUCGCGUCUGAUUAGCUAGUUGGUGAGGUAAUGGCUCACCAAGGCGACGAUCAGUAGCCGGUCUGAGAGGAUGAACGGCCACAUUGGGACUGAGAUACGGCCCAG